CCUGUUGUCGUGACGAGACGAUUUUUUUGAACUAUCUUGAGGAACAUAGCAUUCAGAGGUAGUAUUUAGUAUCUGUCUCCGGAUUAAUAUUUUUUGUACUUUCCCAUUUUUCUAAAUAAAUGGUAAGGACUGUCUAAAAUUUGUACCGUCCAAUUAGAUUGCUAUUGGAAUUCCUAUGUUACCGAAAGAUUUCUAAAACAAUUAAUAUAACAUGCUGUAAUAUAUGUGUGCGUGAGGUGUGUAAGAGAUGUGGAAAUCUUAUUUGGAGUUGGAAUAUUUGUUGAUUCGUUGAAAGGACCGUAGUGCUGCUAACGGAACCAUUUGCUUGGAGACUGUAAUUAGUGCAUGUUUAUUUUCAGCUUUAGUUACCCAAUUCAAUAAUGCAAAAUGUGCUGUGACCGAAAUAAUCAUUCGGUGGUGUUGUCAUCCGAAAAGUUAGACUUGCGGCACAUCCUGAAAUGUUAUGGAGAUUCGGACUUAAAAAAAAAAGGGAACUGAAACUGCGAGAUAACAUUAGUAAUCAUCGAUUGUAAAAAAAAAACGGAAUAUCAAUAAAGACAGUGGGAUUAUUAUUGGCGGCUUAUUGGACAGAUAGUUGCGGACGUAUUUUACUGGUAAGAGCGAUGUGCAGUGCUAAGUUGGGAUAUUUAAUCCUUACGUAAGAGGAUAGGUGUCGAUUCCCUGGUGCGCAAAAAAAUAAUGAGGUAGAACUCGGGAUUGUCCGAGUGAUGUGACCUGGAACGUAAAUGUGAAAAACUACGGGGGUAUUUUUGGGAGAAAAAAGAUGUGAAACUGCUUUGCAGGUCUAUAAAUGUGGCUCACCCUAUCGGUUGUGGAGGAACCAAGGGAGGGUGUACAAUAGAGAAACAUAAGAGGAGUUUGAUUCUUGUCUCGCCUGGUCUGAAGAGGUCAUGUCAUCAGGCACGGAAUGGAGCAGCGGCACCGGUGAGUACGAAGGCUACAUCCCAGUUGUGACGGAUGCAAGGAUCCGUUGGAGAAGUGAUCCUUCUUUCGAGGGACCGGAGACUGUGUAUACUGUCGAUUACCAUUGCGGAAAGCAGGUUGUGCGGUAUGUGGCCUUUGAAGGAGGAAAUGUCGGCAGAAGGUUCUUUGGUUGCGCCGAAGAGGACCAUCGCGAUGCAGUUACGUAAUGUGGGUGGAUCAAGCUUGGGGUGGAGAGCUUCAGAGAUCCAUAAAGAGGAUGUGGGAAAUGAUGGACGAAAAGGAAAUCGAGAAGACGGAUGCAGUAGAAGCGCUGAAGAUGGAGAUGGACGCUCUGAAACAAUGCCAUGAUCAGGAAAAUUCCGAGUUACUGUAUGCGCAGGUGUGCAAGGACUGCAGGGUCUGUAAACUGCGACAGGAGGUUGCGAUAUACAAGAUUAUUGUCGCCACGUUGUUUGUGGUCGCGUCCGCAGCGGUGUACGCGGUGUUCAAAUUUUAAUAUUCAGUGUGAGAAACUGCGAUUUAGGUCGUCGUAAUUCUUGAAUUUAAUGUGUGCGAUGGUAGUUGUAAUAUCAAACUUCAGACGUAAACAAAAGGAUGAUGUGUGUGGCAUCGUCGGAAGUAAUGGGUUUGUUGGUUCGUGCUGAACACGUAUGAGGAUUACAAACUUUCUCUUGA